AGACAGCUACAGUAGGUGGGUGAACACAUUCUUCAAUAAAUAUUUUAAACAUAGUUAUACUUAUUUUAAUAUAGAUUCCACCUCGUCAUGCAUAAGUCAGGCUUCUGUUUGAUUUUCUUGCUGUUGAUCUCUUCAGCGGUGCUUAUUGACUGUUUGGAAGAAACAGAGAAUACUGCAAUCAAUGCCAACAAACAAGAUGCCUUGGGUGUGGAUGCCGCUGACAACCGCGUGUUCAUGGGCAGACGGUUACUGGCCACUUACACCAGACGUCGCCGAUCUUUCAAAAAAGCUGAUCUUUAAUGGCAUAACUAUGUCACCUUUAACACACAGAAUUAUAGUAUCUGUGUUGUAACAGUAUAAUGUGAGAAAUUCUAAUACCAAUAUUUUUUUCUAUUUGAAAUAUAAAUAAUGGUGUAUAAUACCAUUAAUGUUAUUAACGGUGGUAUCUUCACGUUUCAUGAGCUUAUCUACAUAAUUAAUUAUAAUUUUUAUCAGAACAUUUAUUAUGUUAUUUAAACAUUGGUUCAGUUAGAAGGAAGAUUAUAACGAUUUUUAUGACUAUUUUUACAGUUAUAUACGCUUGGUGGAGUUUAUAUUAUGCACGUUGUUUUACUAUAUGCGUGUAUACAAGUACAGUAAAAGUCAUGGCCUUUGUGCAAAAUAAAUAAAUGAAAUGAG